UAUUAGAGGAAUUGGCUGGGAAGCCAAAUCAAAGAGGGUGAUAAUCCCGUACUCGAAAGUAUGGUAGUAGAACUAAGCUUACGAUAAGUAAGGCGGGACACGAGAAAUCCUGUUUGAAGAUGGGGGGACCAUCCUCCAAGGCUAAAUACUCCUGAUUGACCGAUAGUGAACCAGUACUGUGAAGGAAAGGCGAAAAGAACCCCGGUGAGGGGAGUGAAAUAGAACCUGAAACCCUGUACGUACAAGCAGUAGGAGCGAGGGCAACCUUGUGACUGCGUACCUUUUGUAUAAUGGGUCAGCGACUUAUAUUUUGUAGCGAGGUUAACUGAAUAAGGGAGCCGAAGGGAAACCGAGUCUUAACUGGGCGUUGAGUUGCAAGGUAUAGACCCGAAACCCGGUGAUCUAGCCAU
rnacentral:rRNA from 1 species